AAACAUGGUGCUAUAGUGUGUAUAAUAUCGUUUGAGGUAGAGAAUCGAAUGAGAAAAGAUGGCCCAAAUCUUGAUCAAGCCUAGGGAAAUUCCAAGUACACUAAUGUAUUGUUCGUAUAGACAUACUUUAGGUGCUAAGAUCUAAAGUCGUGAGGAAAACAACCUAGAUUGUACACUAAUAUCCCUAAACAAACACUUAGUGGAAAAAUAACUAAUCAUAGUGACAAUGAGGAGAUAGACUUGGAAGCAACCAUACUUGAAGAAAGUGUUGAAUCACAUUGGUCUAGAUCUAUGGCAUUGAAAAUGUCUCUAGACUCAAGUGAUACAUUGAAGCCAAGAGACCUUGGAAUUGAAGUUGGGG
rnacentral:ncRNA from 1 species